rnacentral:sRNA from 1 species
GCCACAUUUGCACAUCUUGUCUGAGAGAUUGAUGAGGAGAAGUAUCACUUUCAGCAUUCUGCUCUUGAUGCUCUUCAAGUUGCCAUGGAGACAACAUUGAUCACACUUUUUGAGUGUAUGAUAUCAUGUGAAAACAGAUGUAACAAUAUCUCACUAAUCAUUUCAUAGAUGAUCUUAAGGCCAUGAUUCAU